AUGAAAGACUGCAAACCCUCCAACACACCCAUGUCUACAACUGAAAAAUUGUCAUUGCAUGAAGGAGUUUUGUUGAGUCCAGAGGAAGGAACAAAGUAUAGACGUAUAGUUGGUGCACUUCAAUAUUUAAUCUUAACAAGGCCAAAUAUUUCCUUCUUUGUUAACACGGUUUGUCAGUUUCUACAUGCUCCUACCACAGUACAUUGGACAACUGUAAAGAGGAUUUUGAGGUAUCUUCAAGGAAGUGUUGAAACAGGGCUGAGAUUAUGUAAGUCUUCUUCAACAGCAGUGAGUGCCUUUUCAGAUGCAGAUUGGGCUGGAUGUCCUGAUGAUAGGAGGUCCACUGGUGGUUUUGCUAUCUUUCUUGGUUCAAAUCUCAUAUCCCGGAAUGCAAAGAAGCAAGCAACUGUGUCUCGAUCAAGCACAGAAGAAGAGUAUAAAUCUCUGGCAAAUGCAACUGCUGAGGUAAUGUGGAUAGAAACUUUACUUAAUGACUUGGGUAUUGGGAGGUCACAUGUCUCAUAG
rnacentral:rRNA from 1 species